AUUGAACGCUGGCGGCAGGCCUAACACAUGCAAGUCGAACGGUAACAGGAAGCAGCUUGCUGCUUUGCUGACGAGUGGCGGACGGGUGAGUAAUGUCUGGGAAACUGCCUGAUGGAGGGGGAUAACUACUGGAAACGGUAGCUAAUACCGCAUAACGUCGCAAGCCCAAAGAGGGGGACCUUCGGGCCUCUUGCCAUCGGAUGUGCCCAGAUGGGAUUAGCUAGUAGGUGGGGUAACGGCUCACCUAGGCGACGAUCCCUAGCUGGUCUGAGAGGAUGACCGGCCACACGGGAGCGGAGACACGGUCAAGACGCCUAAGGGAGGCAGCAGAGGGGAAUAUGGCACAAUGGGCGGAAGCAUGAUGCAGCCAUGCGGCGUGUAUGAAGAAGGCGUUGGGGGUGGAAAGUACGUUCAGCGGGGAGGAAGGGAGUAAAGUUAAGACCUUGGCUCAGUGACGUUACCCGCAGAAGAAGCACCGGCUAACUACGUG
rnacentral:rRNA from 1 species